GAGUUUGAUCCUGGCUCAGAACGAACGUUGGCGGCAGGCUUAACACAUGCAAGUCGAGCGCCCCGCAAGGGGAGCGGCAGACGGGUGAGUAACGCGUGGGAAUCUACCCAUCUCUACGGAACAACUCCGGGAAACUGGAGCUAAAUACCGUAUACGCCCCUCGGGGGAAAGAUUUAUCGGAGAUGGAUGAGCCCGCGUUGGAUUAGCUAGUGGUGGGUAAAGGCCUACCAAGGCGACGAUCCAUAGCUGGUCUGAGAGGAUGAUCAGCCACGAUUGGGACUGAGACACGG
rnacentral:rRNA from 1 species